rnacentral:tRNA from 1 species
GUCCCCGUAGCUCAACGGAUAGAGCACGCCCCUUCUAAGGGUGGGAUGAGAGUUCGAUUCUCUCCGGGGACA